rnacentral:rRNA from 1 species
UACGGGGGGGAGCAAGCGUUGUUCGGAUUUACUGGGCGUAAAGGGCGCGUAGGCGGCGCAACAAGUCACUUGUGAAAUCUCCGGGCUUAACCCGGAGCGGUCAAGUGAUACUGUCGUGCUAGAGUGCGGAAGGGGCUACUGGAAUUCUCGGUGUAGCGGUGAAAUGCGUAGAUAUCAGGAGGAACACCGGUGGCGAAGGCGGGUCUCUGGGCCGAUACUGACGCUGGAGGAGCGAAAGCGUGGGGAGCGAACAGG